AAUAUACAAUAAUUUCAUAUAUAACCGGAUCUGAUUGAAUUUAUUAUAGUCUGUAUCAUCUCAAAUAAAUAAAAUGAUCUUCACUUGAUUUAGAUUGCUUAAGAUAAGAUGCGAUUGUCAGUUAUAAUCAUUUAUUUCAUGUCAAAAAUAUGAUAUACAUUAGUUUCAAGUGCCAUUUGAUCAGAAUAUAAUUAUCAUCAC
rnacentral:lncRNA from 1 species